rnacentral:rRNA from 1 species
UACGGAGGGGGCUAGCGUUGUUCGGAAUUACUGGGCGUAAAGCGCACGUAGGCGGCUUUGUAAGUUAGAGGUGAAAGCCCGGGGCUCAACUCCGGAAUUGCCUUUAAGACUGCAUCGCUAGAAUUGUGGAGAGGUGAGUGGAAUUCCGAGUGUAGAGGUGAAAUUCGUAGAUAUUUGCUAGAACACCAGUGGCGAAGGCGGCCAACUGGACCAUAACUGACGCUGAGGUGCGAAAGCGUGGGGAGCAAACAGG